rnacentral:lncRNA from 1 species
GCAACAAAGCAAGACCCCGAUCUCUACAGAAAAAUCAGCCAUUCCUGGUGGCUCGCAGCUGUAGUCCCAGCUACUCUGGAGACUGAAGCAGGAGGAUUGCUUGAGCUACGAGUUCAGGGCUAUGGUGAGCUGUGAUGGCACCACUGCACUCCAACUUGGAUGACAAAGCAAGGCCCUGUAUCAGAAAAUAAAGAAAAAAGGAUAGAAAGAUAAUGCUAACAAAUGGAAUACGGAGCAUAUAAUGUCUUGCCUCUACAUGUAAUUAAAAAUAGAAGUAAAAUUUAUCUCAGAUUAAGAUUUUUUUUUUAAGCAGCCUCAACAUAUAUUCAGAUAAAACAGAUUUUAAUAAAAUUAUAUAUGUCAUCUGUUUCAAAAAUGUUAGGGCUAUUUUUAGUCUUUAUAAAGCAUAACUUACAGUUAUAGAUAGUUGUCUGUGGUUUUAGAAAGCUAUUCUAUUUGUUAUUCCCUCCGUAUCCCUUAACCCCAUGCCUCAAAUUAUUUCACAAUACUUUCCCAAUAAUUUACUAACUUGUUCUUUUGUAUUCCAAAAAUGUGAAAGGUGUUAAAAGUUUGUGUUUCAGUGCCUUUGGAAACAUUUAAAAAUGCAUCUUUUAAAUUGCAUGUCUAAACCAGUAUUUCUCAAAAUGUGCCAUGAUCUGUUUAUAGUUGUUGGGUUUAAAAAAAAGAAAAAAAUGCAGUUCCGUAACUUUGAGAAAUGUCAGGUUAAGCAAAGUUAAAGUUCUUUACUACAAGACUUCUCAGUGCCUUUAAUGUCCUCCUAUGUUAUCCUCUGGGUAUAUUCUCUUUUCUAACUCAAUCUACCCUUUUACUAGGAUUGGUGUUCCAAGGAAAAUACUGGAAAAUGGUGGUCUAAAUAUUGUUAAAAAUUGAACACACGUGUCUAAAACCAAAAGUGCCCAAUCCUUUACUAGAGUGUGAGCUUCUUGAGGACAAGAGUCUGUACUCAUUUUUUGUAAUCCCAUCUUGCAUAUAACCAAUAUAAUGCUCAAUAUGUAUUAUUGAAUAUGUUAAUAUAAAUCUAACUCUGGAGAGUCAGUUUGUAAUGCAAAGCUAAUAUGCUCCUGAUUUGAUAAAAUUAAUUAUUAUGAAAUAACGUGUAUAUUUUCACACAUAUUUGUUUUCUCUAUACUUGGAAGAAAUAGAAUAUUUUUAAAUGGACACUGUUUUACAGGUUCAUAUUUAAGAUGGUGAUCAGCUGUUUUUAUCUGUUGAAAAGUUGUAGACCUAACCUUAUAAAAGAUCUGUUCAUAGAUGAUGAAGCCUUUCAAAACUGUGAGGUAUAGAAGUCAGGGUAUUCUGAUUUAUUUCAUUUCACUUCAACAUUUACCCCUCUGGGACUCUGGAACUUUUUUCAUAGCCUUCUACUUCACUCUCAACUCCUACCUCCCAAAAGUGUAAUUUAUCUACUUAUGUUCCCACUGCUUUCAAGAGUUCAUAUAGUUUCCCAGAAUUUGCGGCAUCUUCCUCACUCUUUCCUGUUACUUCACGUUAUAGAGCUUCUCCAAAUGCUUUCCCAUAGGUUUCCUGCCUCAUCUGCCAGAGACGUCUUGGAGUUCUUCAGAAUUUACUGGAUGUGCUAAAGAGUAUUUAAGUACACGUUUACAAAAUGAAGGAACUCCACUGCUGUGCAAGUAGUAAUAGGUCUUCAGACCCAUGAAGCAAGGACAUUUGGGGAAGUCUCGGUUAUCAAGUAUGAUACCUGUUUAUGGGGAAUGUAGAGAAUUUUGCCAUCUUUCUUAUUAGUAGAAAGAGAAAUUUGCAGAUUCCUUGGAGAUUUAGGGGCGUUUAGGAUAAUCAAAAAGUUUUGUAUAUUGCACUUGGGGAUCUAAUCCAUACUGAAGGCCAUAAACUAUAAUAAAGUAUCAGGAACAAAUAGGAAACAAAAUACAUGAAGGAAUUAUUUGAGUUUAGAGGAAAAGAAAAAGAAAACCAGCAAGAAUACUGCUAUCUAAUCAUUAAAUCAGUUUAAGAUGGACACAUUGAGAAUGUCUGGUAAAACAUGUUUUCUUAAUUAGAUUAUCAUGCUUUUUAGAGGACCCUUAAUAGGUAGUAUGAAGCUCGUAUUUUGGCAAUUUGAGCACCCUUUUUGUAGAAUUUUAUGAGAAUUUUCUUUGUAAAAGAAAACUUUUAAGGACUAUUUGAUACAGAAGUGUUACUAAUGGAAAUUUCAAGACUUCCUGCCUUGACGGCCUUUUAAAUUAGAUGUUCAUGCAGUAGCUUAAAUGAGUAAGUCUUAUAAACAACUGGAGAGUUCUUUAAUAUCCUUUAGAACCAGAUGUUUAGUUGCUGUUAUUUUUUUUCUAUCUCCAUUCAAACUACCAUGGAUGUAACACUGUUAGCCAAGCAAUGUGCUAAGAUAAGAAGCUGUUUGAAGAAGGUACAGUGCCUUAAGUUUUGGAGUUCGUGAGUGGUGGGAAGGAGGAGUGGACAUAGGAGUAAUUCUACUAUCGUAUGAUCAAGGAGUAUGAUGUAGGUAUUGGCUCUGCCUGGAGGAGUCUGGAAGCUUUGUAAGAAUAGUCUAUCUUAAAGUAAGAAUGUUCAAUGUUACUAUUAAUGGGGAAUGUAGGGCUAAGAUAUUCAAAAGCCCAGAGGCACAAAAGUAUAAGGCAUGAUUUGGGAAUGGUGAAUGGCCCACUGAAUGAGCCCAUUUUGUGGGAGUGAGGGUGAAAAAGAAGCCAGAAAGCUGUGUUCAGGCCAAUCUGGGAUUUGGACAUUUUUUCCCUAAGGCUAUAUUAUUCUCAGUCAUUUUUCUUGUGCUACACAAAUGAUAGACAUACACAUGUGCAGGGAUAUGUGUAAUUCCUGAGCCCUAGGCUUUUCUGCAGUGAAUUCCAUCCCAUUCAAGCAUAUGAAAAUACAUGAAGGGGAAUUACACUAUUAUAGAUAAUUGCAGAUAGAUACAGAUUUGACUGUUUAAAUGUAUGUUUAACUUUUAGAAUUAUUACUUGUUCACAACUGGUGAAAACAGUUGUCUUGACAGAGGUUGAGAACAGGAGGUGACUUGUAAGGAAUGUAGUAAACCACUAUCAUGACAAAACAGGAAACUGGAAGCAAAGCGUUCAUUAACAGAAUGAGAAAACAGUAGAUGUGAGGAAUAUUGCAGAAGUACAAUGGAGAGAACUUGACCGAUUUCCAAGACUCAUAACAUAUUGUAUGUGUGGGUCAUUCUUCCUUACAACAGGACAUAUUCCAGUAGAUGUUUUGCCAUGGGGGGCCUCUUUGAAAUGACUCCUUAGGCCAUGCACAAUAUGCCUAUAAUUCCAGCACUUUGAGAGUCCACGGCGGGAGGAUCGCUGGAGACCAGUAGUUCAGACCAGCCUGGACAACACAGCGAGACCCCAUCUCCAAAAAAAAAUUAAAAAUUAUCUGGGCACUUGUGCACUUGUGGUCCUAACUACUUCAGAGGCCAAGGCAAGAGGGUCACUUGAGCUUGAGAGUUUGAGGCUGCAGUGAGCCAUGAUUGCACCACUGCACUCCAGCCAGGUGACAGAGUAAGACCCUGGCUUAAAAAAAAAAAGAAAAAAGAAAAAAAC